rnacentral:rRNA from 1 species
GGGUGAAAUCAUACCAAUGUUAAUGCACCGAAUCCCAUCAAAACUCCGCAGUUAGGCUUGCUUUGGAUAGAGUAGAACUAGGAUGGGUGAUCUCCUGAGAAGUCCUAGUGUUGCCCCCU